CCGUGCUAGGUGGGGAGCUAGCGGUGCCCUGUACCCGCAACCCGCUCUAGCGGGGCCGAUGCUCGCCUUCGGCCUGUACGGUUCGGGAACGCCCCGGGAACGGAGCGACGAAGGCCGGGUCCCGCGCGACGCCAACCUGCGAACCCCGUCAGGACCGGAAGGUAGCAGCGGUAAGCGGGCGAUGGCGGGUGCCGCGGGAACGCCUGGCCGGAGCCACCGGUCCGAGUGGCGACCGAGCCGAACGUGGACAACGGCGAGUGCACGG
rnacentral:SRP_RNA from 1 species